rnacentral:rRNA from 1 species
CCUACGGGAGGCUGCAGUGGGGAAUAUUGGACAAUGGGCGAAAGCCUGAUCCAGCCAUGCCGCGUGUGUGAAGAAGGCCUUCGGGUUGUAAAGCACUUUCAGUGGGGAAGAAAGCCUUGGGGCUAAUACCCUCGAGGAAGGACAUCACCCACAGAAGAAGCACCGGCUAACUCCGUGCCAGCAGCCGCGGUAAUACGGAGGGUGCGAGCGUUAAUCGGAAUUACUGGGCGUAAAGCGCGCGUAGGCGGUCUGAUAAGCCGGUUGUGAAAGCCCCGGGCUCAACCUGGGAACGGCAUCCGGAACUGUCAGGCUAGAGUGCAGGAGAGGAAGGUAGAAGUCCCGGUGUAGCGGUGAAAUGCGUAGAGAUCGGGAGGAAUACCAGUGGCGAAGGCGGCCUUCUGGACUGACACUGACGCUGAGGUGCGAAAGCGUGGGUAGCAAACAGGAUUAGAUACCCCGGUAGUC